CAGAUCCGGUGGAAUCUUAACAGCUGGGACUUGACCAGUCCCGCGUAGGUAUGUCGGGGGUGGAAACUGGUCUUGUGGAGGAGGGCAUGGGUGUCAGUCUGUUUAAAAUAAACCUUUAUGUCCAGAUUGUGAGUGGAGGGGAAGUCUGGACCUUUGUAUGUGGUGGUGUCCAAGAAAUCCACCGACAUGGGGCUGGUGGUGGACUUGAUAGUGAUACUGGGGUUGUGAGUAUUGAGGGUGUGGCGGAACACCUCAAACUCCUCUACGGAGUGGGCCCAUACCCCCCAGAUAUCAUCGAGGUACCGUAAGUAAUGCAGGGGCUUAAUCGGGCACGCUGCGAGGGCGGAGGUCUCCCAUUCCGCCAUGAAAAUAUUGGCGUAUGCCGGGGCAAAUUUCUUCCCCAUGGCUGUCCCUUUAAUCUGGAGGAAGAACUUCCCAUUAAAUUCAAAGUCGUUCCUCCUUAAAUUUAUGUCGAGCAGCUGCAGGAGUUCUUUGUCCGGCCUGCUAACGUCUCGAUAUUUGCCAAAUAUAUUUUUUACGGCUUGGAUGCCCUGUUAAAUGUCUAUGUUUGUGUAUAAACUGUCUAUAUCAAUUGUGAACAGAAUGGCCUCUUGGGGAAUGGUGAGAUUUUUUAUUUUUUCUAUAAAGUCAUAUGUGUCUUUUAAAUAACUAUUGUGUUUGGUGGAAAGUGGCGUUAAAUAAAAAUCGAUAAAUUCUGCCGUCCUGUAGGUUUCGCUCCCACAGUCGGAAACUAUGGGCCUGCCCGGGGGUAUGACAUGGGGCUGGCUCCAUUUGUGGGGUUCCUUGUGGAUUUUGGGGAGUAAAUAAAACCUACGAGGACGGGGAUCCGAUUCGCCCAGGAGGUAAGUAAAUUGUUUAUAAUUAAUGAAUUUUUUAUUUAAUAAAUUUUUAAUGAUUUUUUCCACCAUAGGGAUUGUGUCAAGAUAAAUGGGUGCGGCCAACGGGGAGUAGUAGGUGGUGUCGUUCAGUUGUCUGGUGCCCUCCCAGACAUACUGAGACCUGUCAAAGAUGACCACAGCGCUUCCUUUGUCUGCCGGUUUGAUAACAAUGUUAUUGUUAUUUUUCAGACUCUGAAGGGCCUCAGUUUCGUCACGCGUGAGGUUGGGCGUAAUGGCGAGGGCGCAACCCGAUAGGAGCGAUGGAUGCUCGUCCGCUAGGACCAGUGUGUGGACCUCUGGAGGUAGCAGACCGGGUGAGGGCUCCCACUCGGACCGGGCGGUGAAAGGUCGCGGACCGAGGGACCCCUGCUUUUCAUAGAACACCGCGAGUUUGACACCCCUGUGGUAUUCUUGUAAGUCAAACUUCAUUUGGUGGUGCCACUCAGGACUAAGGUUGGUGGAUGGGACGAACGUGAGGCCUUUAUUGAGGAGGGAGCGCUGUGAGGAGGUAAGUGUGAAAUGUUUUGACAAAUUUACAAUGUUUUUGUUUGUGUUUGUGGUGGUGUUGUUUGUGCUUGUGUCACCCCCCCGACAGGUCGGGUUUUUGGGGAUGCCAUGUUUAAAUGGUGAAGCCAGUGCUUCAGCAUGUUUUUGGCCGUUUCCUCGGUCCAGUGAAGGUUGUCCCUCCCCGUAGCAAACUUAUCACUGGGCUUCUGAGAAGUUGAUGAUGGGGAUGGAAAUGUCGGCGUUCGGGAACACCGUUUUGGCCACCUUGAGGGCCCUUUGAAUUUGUUUAAAGAUGGCCUCUGCGUGGCGGAAGUUGGCCCCUGGAUAGCUGUCCAUCUGAAGGUCCUGGAGACGGACAGGUGGAAGACGACUAAUAUUGGAGUCACCAAUCACCAGGACCUUCUUAUCAACAGACAGGUGCCAAUCAACCAACUUGCGCGUUGUACUGAUGUGUCUAGUGGGGCCCCUGCGCGGACUCAUAGGUGUGGCUAAUUGUGUCGUGUCUGUAUCCUCUGUCGGCUGAGAGGCCGAAGUGACCGUUCUAGGCCCUUUCCGGAUUCCCGAAAAAAAUUGGGACCAGCUUGGACCCGCUUCGGGAACCGGCGUGCGUGGAGGAGGAGUGUCCACGAGGGGCACGUCCGGAAGAGGCGCGUCCGGGAGGGGCGCGUCCAGGAGGGAGGAAGUCGGCGAGGGUGGUCCCGGUUGGCCAGAACCUAGUUGAGACCAACUGGGGGGCGUGUCAGGGGGCAGCUGGGACCACCCUGGGGGCCCCUCAGGGGAUGACGCCGGCUGCUCAGGUGGCGGUGGCGCGUCCGAGACCGCAGGAGGGACCCUGACUUCGGUCUCGACCCGCGAAUGCGGCCUGGGUGGCGGGACCAGGGGAGCCUCGACAAUGGAAUUGUCGGGAGGACUGCUACAUGGCUCCUGGGGUCGUGUCAUUCUCUGGGGCCUGGAUGGUGCCGCAGCCAGAGAAGAAGGCGACAAAACCGGGAAGGGGACCGGGGUGACCGGUCCCCUAGGACCCGGAACCGGUUCCACCACAGGGGACCAGUCCCCGACCACAGGGUCGGUCAUGGUGGACGCCGUGGCGCGUACAGGAGCGUGCAGGGUUGGAACCGGUAGGGGCAGCGGCAGCGGCAGCGGCGGCGGCGGCUGCACUACCUCCAUCACCACUCGGGUGCUGGACGGAUCCAAGCGGACUGGUGACCCCGUCUGCUGGGAUCGUGACGGACUACCCCCCUCGUCCACGCCACGAACGUCCACACAGAUGGAGAUCACCAGACCCUCGGCUAGCCGCAGUGUCUCGGUGGUCAACCUGCGUCCCAGGUGUGUCCUGGUCCAAGCCGAGGCCACCUGGAAUGGGUCUUUCCAAUUUUGCCCAAUAAAAGCACUCAAUUUGUUGA